rnacentral:lncRNA from 1 species
CAGUUUAGGAAGGCUCCCGGGGCUGGCAUUGCUGCAUAGCUCAACCCCCAGGCAUCUGUUUACCACUGUCACAGCAGUUCACUCAAACUGUGCACUCUCUAAAUAAAGACCUUGCUUUGAUUAUAAUUUCCAUGAACAUGAAAACUCCCAAGUCUUAAUCCUGAAAGAAGGAGGCCAUUUCCAGCAGUCGGAAAAGAUUACAGUCCAGGUAAAAAGGAUGCUCGACUACCCUAAUCUUGUGGGUUGUGUCCUGUGGGCUGGUUUUGGCUGGAAUUCUACAGGUGAAAUGACUGCAGCCUUCUGUCUGCGAGGAGCCUUUGUUAUCUCCACACCUUGGGAAAAUGGUCUGUGGAUACGUGUUUUUUGAAAAAAGAGUAUGGCGGUAUAGGAUCC